rnacentral:rRNA from 1 species
GUGCCAGCCGCCGCGGUAAUACGUAGGUGGCAAGCGUUGUCCGGAUUUAUUGGGCGUAAAGCGAGCGCAGGCGGUUUCUUAAGUCUGAUGUGAAAGCCCCCCGGCUCAACCGGGGAGGGUCAUUGGAAACUGGGGAACUUGAGUGCAGAAGAGGAGAGUGGAAUUCCAUGUGUAGCGGUGAAAUGCGUAGAUAUAUGGAGGAACACCAGUGGCGAAGGCGCUCUCUGGUCUGUAACUGACGCUGAGGCUCGAAAGCGU